CUGCACACAUGCACUCGAAGCGCUCAAUAUAAAAUAAAGAACUCCCUUUCAAAUUUUGCUCUUUUGGAGGAAGCUGAAAUGUUAAGGAAUCCUGCGCGGUAUCUGGACGUUACAAAGGCUCACACUCAGGCCAGUAUAGCUAAUCUUCUUACUGAUCACAGGGCUGGACUGUUAAAACAGGACAAAGUUCACACUGACAGCAGAGGGAGAGUGGCAGAGAAUCAAGAACAGUGGCAGAUUUGAUCAAACAGCAAAAGCAGAGGAAAGGAUUAGGCCUCAGAGCAAGGAAGUCUUUUCAGUUUUUUGUUUUUAUUGCAAAAUAACUAAAUCAAUUGCUGUCACACUCUGACAGAGGUUUGGACCUGGCAACAUGUACAUCUACGCACUGAAGGAUCCCGAAAAGUAACAAGCAUGGAGGUGCUGAGUGGCCCCUGGGCUGAUCUGGCCCUUUUCCUGCAACAGGCUGUCACACUCACAAACAGAGACACAGACAGCUUUCUUCCUCUCUGGCUGUUUGGGUUGCUGCUGUUCCUGUCAGUCUGUCUGCUGCUCCUGCAACUAAUCAUCUACUUCAGCUGGAAACUCAGACAGGCUGAGAGGGAUCUGUCCAGGUUUGAGAAGGACCCAAGUGUCAUCCACAGACAGAGGCCCAGUCUGAGGAGGAGAAGUUUUGGAUCACAUUCCCAUUCCUGACAGGAAUCUCUUAACAGUGAAGGACAAAUUUAACUUAU